AGCAUAACUUAAUGAUACAGAGCUCAAACCAUAAUACAUCAUGUAGGUGCACUACAGAGAUUUAUCUACACCUUUUUCUUUGGGAUCAGUGUAAACUCUACUCUAAAUUCUAAGAAGAUAAAGAAAUGAGGCAGCAGUGUAUUGUGAUUGAGUGUAUGAGCUGCAUUAUGGGUGGAGCUGUGUAUUUCAGCAGAGAGCUACACUAAACCCAUUCAGCUCUGACUCUGCUCUCAGUCACUUCACAUCUCUGUCAACAUGCUGCUCUCUAUCCUUUCUCUCCUAGCACUGCUUUUAGGAGACACAUCAGCACAGAAAAUUAUGCCACUUACAGAAGAAGUGCAGGUUUCAGAGGGUGAUAAUGUUACUCUCUCCUGCACCCACAGUAGCAGCAGCACUAAUGAUGCUCUUCAGUGGUAUCGUCAGUUUCCCAGAUCCACACCAGAGUUUCUCCUGUACAUUUACCCUCAAGGGGGUAUGAGUGAUCCUCUUCCUCCUCGUAUGUCUGCUGAAGUUGAAAGGAAUAAACAUGUAAAUCUGUCGAUCUCUUCUACUGCAGUAUCAGACUCUGCACUCUACUACUGUGCCCUGAGGCCCACAGUGACAGGAAACCCAGCUACACUGUACAAAAACCUUCCACUACAGACUGAAUAUGAACUUCUACAUUUGCAGAAUAAAGAUCUGGAAUGA